AAACGACUCUCGGCAACGGAUAUCUCGGCUCUCGCAUCGAUGAAGAACGUAGCGAAAUGCGAUACUUGGUGUGAAUUGCAGAAUCCCGUGAACCAUCGAGUCUUUGAACGCAAGUUGCGCCCCAAGCCUUCUGGCCGAGGGCACGUCUGCCUGGGUGCCACAA
rnacentral:rRNA from 1 species